UGGGGAAUCUUCCGCAAUGGACGAAAGUCUGACGGAGCAACGCCGCGUGAGUGAUGACGGCCUUCGGGUUGUAAAGCUCUGUUAAUCGGGACGAAUGGCUACCAUGCGAAUAGUGUGGAAGUUUGACGGUACCGGAAUAGAAAGCCACGGCUAACUACGUGCCAGCAGCCGCGGUAAUACGUAGGUGGCAAGCGUUGUCCGGAAUUAUUGGGCGUAAAGCGCGCGCAGGCGGAUCUGCCAGUCUGUCUUAAAAGUUCGGGGCUCAACCCCGUGAUGGGAUGGAAACUACAGAUCUAGAGUAUCGGAGGGGAAAGUGGAAUUCCUAGUGUAGCGGUGAAAUGCGUAGAUAUUAGGAGGAACACCAGUGGCGAAGGCGACUUUCUGGACGAUCACUGACGCUGAGGCGCGAAAGCCAGGGGAGCGAACGGG
rnacentral:rRNA from 1 species